GCACAGCACGGGGGCGUGAUCGGAAGUGAUUGACAGCUCGGCCAACCAAUCACUUGCACCAGAUGACAGAAAACAGUGAAACUCGUGAUCCUGACUCAUCACUUGAAGGGAUAUUUUUUAGGGAACAGUACUGGAAAGGGAGAUUGAGAGGAGCACAAACAUCUUACUCAGGCGUCACUGUACAUGCACACAUCUUACUGAAAAGGAGAAAAUGGAAAGGCAUUUAAUGGUCGGAGUGCGGGGGACUAGUACAAAACCAGCAGCCUAGUGAGUGAGGAACACCAGUGUCUAAAGGGAGAUUGAGAGGAGCACAAACAUCUUACUCAGGCGUCACUGUACAUGCACACAUCUUACUGAAAAGGAGAAAAUGGAAAGGCAUUUAAUGGUCAGAGUGCGGGGGACUAGUACAAAACCAGCAGCCUAGUGACUGAGGAACACCAGUGUCUAAAGUGCAGAUUCUGUCCAGCGGAGUUCACCGGCGCCAUCUUCUUCUCUUCGGGAACCGAGCGGCGGUAUGACGCAUGAGCAGUUAGAGCACCAGAAGAAGACUUGAAGAUUACAAGAUGGGGGGGAGAUUGAGAGGAGCACAAACAUCUUACUCAGGCGUCACUGUACAUGCACACAUCUUACUGAAAAGGAGAAAUGGAAAGGCAGAUAAUGGUUGCAGUUUUGGGGACUAACUUCUGGCACAUCCCGCAGAGUCGACAAAUAUGUAAUAAAAUUUGAUUAUUUCAUAUAAUACAAGCAGAAUAGAUGUAACAAUUUAUUAAAUGUCAGAAAGCAUUACAAAAUAAUAAUUUUUUUAAAAAAUAUAUAUUUAUUAAUGUAUUUAUAAACACAGCAAUACAAUUCUACAUAAAAUAAUUGUAUAAUAAAAUAAGAUUGUUGAAUCGCUCUUCAUUCAUGCAGUAGAUAUGGCAGGUAGCCAUAGUGCAGGGAGAUGUCCUUGUCACGCUGCCACUGUUUAAAGUACUGCACUCUUCCCUUUGCAGUAUACUGGCAGGCCUCUUCUCUCUCCUGCUGGGCUUUUCUUUGAAGAGCUUCUCUCUCCUCUGGUGGAAGUGGAAUAGAAAACUCCAACUGCUCAAGGAGUUCUUCCCAAUCGUCUUUAAUCCGAGGAGGUGAUUUCUGUACUGGUGUCUCACAUUGGGCUAUUUUGCUCAAGCUUGGAGCUGAACUUUUCUUCACACAUACAGAUUUUCCCUUUGGUAGGUUUCUGCGGGCUUUAACUUGACCACACUUUGGUGAAGACGGCUUUGAACGCUGAUGUUGUGCUUGUUCUUCAGGUUCUCUGAUCUGUUGCCGUUGACUUGUGACAAUAGGUUUUUUGCCAAGAGCAUGAAAUGCAUUAAUAGAUUCAAGCAUAUUUUGCUGAAGUUUGCUGCAAUGCUUUUUAGCAAAUGUUUGGUCAGUAGGAUCAUCAGUUUUUCUCUUUCUCUCUUUUGGUUCCUUAGAAACACUGCUGACCGGCUUAGGUUUUCUUUUGGUGCCCUUUUUAGUCGUCUUCUCACUCACUGCAUUGGCAUUUGCAUCAUCAGUGGGAUCAUCAGCUUUUCUCUCUGUCUCUUUUGUUUCCUCAGAAACACUGCUGACUGGCCUAGGCUUUUUUUGUGUGCCCUUUUUAGUCUUCUUCUCACUCACUGCAUUGGCAUUUGUAUCCUCAGAGGGAUCAUCGGUUUUUCUCUUUUUCUUUUUUGUUUCGUCAGAAACACUGCUGGCCGGCUUAGGUUUUCUUUUUGUGCCCUUUUUAGUUUUCUGCUCACUCACUGCAUUGGCCUUUGUAUCAUCAGACAGUUUAGGGCUCUGCAUAAUAGGCUCCUCUGUAGAUAAGGGUAUAGAGGUAACUGAAGUAGCAGAUAUAUCAGGCUUUGGUGGCAUUUUCUUUUCCACAAAUUCUUGAUAAGAUUCUGGUUGGCCACUCUCUGUAAUGGAACUUACAGAUGGGUUCUGUAACUCAGAAUUGUCUGCAUUAUAAUUUUGCUCAGGUAUACCAGGUGUUUGCAUGAAAUGUUCAUCUUGAAGAGACAUGGCUGGUGCAGGGUAUGUCUGGUUAACCACAGGAUAAGCCGUUCCAUAUAUGUCAUACACAUAGGAGACCAUGGGAAGAGCCUGUGGCAUUUGCUGUUGGUUUAGUGGUUCUCCUGCUGGCAGAAAUUGUUGCAUGCCAUAGCCAACUUGUUCUCUUUCAUCGUUACAACAACAACAAUUGCAACUUUCAUUGAAGUCAGUAGAGUAGUUAUAAUUGUUAUGUUGGUUUAGUGGUUCUCCUGCUGGCAGAAAUUGUUGCAUGCCAUAGCCAUCUUGUUCUCUUACAGCGUUACAACAACAACAAUUGCAACUUGCAUCGAAGUCAGUAGAGUAGUUAUAGUUGUUACAGUUAUAAUCUGGAGGGAUAAAUGAUAACAUUUAAUUAAUAAUGACUUAAUCUGAGGGUAUAUUCAUGAUACAAUUUUACAGCUUUCAUUUUUUUAUCUAAAUCAGUGGUUUCCAAUUUCCUACUGAGGUUCAUGUGGCAAAACCCCAAAUUUGGAUAAUAACAUUUUUACAAACCAUUGCCACAGCAUUUAUUCUAUUGAAAUGAUAAGGAACAUCUAGAAAAGCAAGGGAUGGGAGUCCUCACAUUUAAAGUGAUACUUUCCAUGAUUAAGAGCUUUCUGGAUAGUGGAUUUGCACAUAACGGAUCCCAUAAAUGUACUGUUAGUUUAAUGUCACACAGGUUGAGGAGCUGCUGUUCUCCACCUGCAUAAAAAACACAGGCAGACACAUAUGGAGCAGAUGUUGGCGCAUAAAUGCAAAAGUAAAUAUAUUUUUACACUGAAAUGAGUGUAUCUGUACACAGGCUGACGCAGUGUCUCUAUGUAGAAAAGAUGGAGCUGAUGAGAGCAAAUCUGCUUUUCUCCACCUGUGUACAAAAGAGAAAAGCCAAUCCCCAAGUCCAUGUGACAUUAGUCUUAGUAUAAAUUGUCAUGGAAGCUCUUACCCUCUUAACAUUCAUAAACAAAGGUACAAAUUGGUCCUACCUUCCAUAAUAAAUAGUUCAGUUGAAUGUAGGAAUAAAAAAUCUGGUUGUAGAAAGUGUUAGUCCUCCUGCUCUCUGGGUCAGGGUGAACUAACUGAAAUGUCCCAGCUGCGUCUCAGCUAGUUUACUGGUCACUAUUAUGAUGUCAUAAUGGAACUUAUGUGGUCUCUAUGGAGAUGUUUCAGGUGUUUGAAUAAAUAUAUAUGAUCCAGUCUAAUCCAGUCCAAUUCAGUCCUCGCAUUUAAUGUGAUACUGACACCAGAAAUCAAACUUUUUUUACCUCAAUCAUUGUCUUUGCAAGCUAUUUAUAAUUUUGCUAUAUAAAGUAUUUGC